rnacentral:rRNA from 1 species
UGGCGGAGCCAUCCUUGGGAUACCACCCUUGUAGUACUGGGACUCUAACCAUAGGCCAUGAAUCUGGUCUUGGGACACUGUCAGGUGGGCAGUUUGACUGGGGCGGUCGCCUCCCAAAAGGUAACGGAGGCGCUCAAAGGUUCUCUCAGUACGGUCGGAAAUCGUACGUAGAGUGUAAAGGCAAAAGAGAGCUUGAUUGCAAGACAUACAGGUCGAGCAAGGAUGAAAAUCGGACUUAGUGAUCCGGUGGUUCUGCGUGGAAGGGCCAUCGCU